AGCCACGUGCUCAGCAAGCAAUGGCCACCAGAAUGGCCGCUGCUGUGACGUCAGUGUGUCGUGUAUCCGGUUCUGAUUGAAAGCAGAAGCGGCAACUCAAGAGGCG
rnacentral:misc_RNA from 1 species